rnacentral:rRNA from 1 species
GAUGAACGCUGGCGGCGUGCCUAAUACAUGCAAGUCGAACGCAUUGAGAGAAGUGCUUGCACUUUUCAAUUUGAGUGGCGAACGGGUGAGUAACACGUGGGCAACCUACCUGAUAGCGGGGGAUAACGAGUGGAAACAUUCGCUAAUACCGCAUAACAAUAGAGAAGGUAUCUUCUUUAUUUAAAAGGCGCUUUCAAGCGUCACUAUCAGAUGGGCCCGCGGUGCAUUAGUUAGUUGGUGGGGUGAAGGCCUACCAAGACGAUGAUGCAUAGCCGCGUUGAGAGUCUGUUCGGACACAUUGGGACUGAGACAAGGCCCAAACUCCUACGGGAGGCUGCAGUAGGGAAUCUUCCACAAUGGACGAAAGUCUUAUGGAGCAACGCCGCGUGUGUGAUGAAGGCUUUCGGGUCGUAAAGAACUGUUGUAUGGGAAGAGAUGCUAGGCUAGGAAAUGAGCUUAGUUUGACGGUACCAUACCAGAAAGGGACGGCUAAAUACGUGCCAGCCGCCGCCGUAA